rnacentral:rRNA from 1 species
UAGAGUUUGAUCCUGGCUCAGAACGUACGCUGGCGGCACGCCUAACACAUGCAAGUCGAACGAAGUAGCAAUACUUAGUGGCAGACGGGUGAGUAACAUGUAGGUAUCUGCCCUUUGGCCUGGAAUAACACGAGGAAACUUGUGCUAAUACCGGAUAAGUCUUUACGGAGAAAGCUUUAUGCACCAUUGGAUGAGCCUGCACUUGAUUAGUUUGUUGGUGGGGUAAUGGCCUACCAAGACUGUGAUCAAUAGCUGAUUUGAGAGGAUGAUCAGCCACAUUGGGACUGAGACACGGCCCAAACUCCUACGGGAGGCAGCAGUGGGGAAUCUUGCACAAUGGAGGAAACUCUGAUGCAGCGAUGCCGCGUGAGUGAAGAAGGCCUUUGGGUUGUAAAGCUCUUUCGUCGGGGAAGAAAAUGACUGUACCCGAAUAAGAAGGUCCGGCUAACUUCGUGCCUGCAGCCGCGGUAAUACGAAGGGACCUAGCGUAGUUCGGAAUUACUGGGCUUAAAGAGUUCGUAGGUGGUUGAAAAAGUUGGUGGUGAAAUCCCAGAGCUUAACUCUGGAACUGCCAUCAAAACUUUUCAGCUAGAGUAUGAUAGAGGAAAGCAGAAUUUCUAGUGUAGAGGUGAAAUUCGUAGAUAUUAGAAAGAAUACCGAUUGCGAAGGCAGCUUUCUGGAUCAUUACUGACACUGAGGAACGAAAGCAUGGGUAGCGAAGAGGAUUAGAUACCCUCGUAGUCCAUGCCGUAAACGAUGUGUGUUAGACGUUGGAAAUUUAUUUUCUGUGUCGCAGCGAAAGCGAUAAACACACCGCCUGGGGAGUACGACCGCAAGGUUAAAACUCAAAUGAAUUGACGGGGACCCGCACAAGUAGUGGAGCAUGUGGUUUAAUUCGAAGAUACGCGCAGAACCUUACCAACACUUGACAUGUUCGUCGCGACUCUAAGAGAUUAGAGUUUUCGGUUCGGCCGGACGAAACACAGGUGCUGCAUGGCUGUCAUCAGCUCGUGUCGUGAGAUGUUGGGUUAAGUCCCGCAACGAGCGCAACCCUCACUUUUAGUUGCCAUCAUUAAGUUGGGCACUCUGAAAGAACUGCCAGUGAUAAGCUGGAGGAAGGUGGGGAUGACGUCAAGUCCUCAUGGCCCUUACGUGUUGGGCUACACACGUGCUACAAUGGUAUCUACAACAGGAAGCAAGACUGCGAAGUUAAGCAAAUCCCUAAAAGAUACCUCAGUUCGGAUUGCACUCUGCAACUCGAGUGCAUGAAGCUGGAAUUACUAGUAAUCGUGGAUCAGCGUGCCACGGUGAAUGCGUUCCCGGGUCUUGUACACACCGCCCGUCACACCAUGGGAGUUGGUUCUACCUUAAGGCAAGGUUUUAAACCCUUGACCACGGUAUAGUCAGCGACUGGGGUGAAGUCGUAACAAGGUAACCA